CAGACUUGCAUUUCGGAGUUCAGCCGCAAGGUGUAUUCUUCAAUUUGCAGGCCAGCAUCAGUUUUUGGGGGUGGAAAAUCGCGAUUUGAAGGUAGCAGUCUCGGCUGUGUUAUAGCUUUUCGCUGGAUUCAUCCUUGGGGACUGAGGAACGCAGUACACUUUUUGCAAGGCUUUCGAGCUUUUCGUACUUAGGAUGCUGGUGGAAUGGCUUUAAACGACCCGUCUUGAAACGACGGACCAAGGAGUACUAACAUAUAUG
rnacentral:rRNA from 1 species